AAUCGAACCCGGAGAUAGCUGGUUCUCCUCGAAAUAGCUUUAGGGCUAGCCUCAUGGAUCAUUGGUGGGGGUAGAGCACUGAAUGUGCGCGGGGGCCACAAAGCCUACCAAACGCUAUCAAACUUCGAAUACCAUACAAUGCAGACCAUGGGAGUCAGUCCGCGAGAGAUAAGUUCCGCGGGCAAAAGGGGAACACCCCAGAUCAACCGCUAAGGUCCCCAAGUUCACGUUAAGUGGAGAAGGAUGUGGAAUUGCACAGACAACCAGGAUGUUGGCUCAGAAGCAGCCACACAUUUAAAGAGUGCGUAAUAGCUCACUGGUCGAGUGAUUGUGCGCCGAAGAUGUCCGGGGCUAAACGUGACACCGAAGCGAUGGGUGCAUCUGAAUAGGAUGCGCGGUAGAGGAGCAAUGUGCAGAGGCAGAAGCCGUAUCGAGAGGCACGGUGGACACUGCACAAGAGAGAAUGCCGGUAUGAGUAGCGAGAGGCAUGCGAGAAACAUGCCCGUCGAAAGCCCAAGGUUUCCUGGGGAAGGUUCAUCCGCCCAGGGUAAGUCGGGGCCUAAGCCGAGGACGGAAGUCGUAGGCGAUGGACAGCAGGUGUAGAUUCCUGCACUACCGAUGGAAUGAAGCAGUGACACAGAAGGAUAACUCGAGCAGGGUGAUGGUCAACCCUGUGCAAGCAUCAAGGUUGGGUUGUAGUGAAGUACGCAAUCCUAUAAGCUGAGGUGUGAUGCGGACCGAAAUUUCAGUAGGGAAGCGAGUGAGUUCACGCUGGCGAGAAAAGCUGCUGGUACAUCCAAAGGUACCCGUACCGGAAACCGACGCAGGUGGGCGAGGAGAGAAUCCUGAGACGAACGGGAGAACCCUUGUUAAGGAACUCGGCAAAAUGACCCCGUAACUUCGGGAGAAGGGGUGCCUCGAAAGAGGCCGCAGAGAAUAGUCACAAGCGACUGUUUAGCAAAAACACAGGUAUCUGCGAAAGCGAGAGCUGACGUAUAGGUGCUGACACCUGCCCGGUGCUGGAAGGUUAAGGGAACAUGUUAGAGCAAUCGAAGCAUCGAACCGAAGCCCCAGUAAACGGCGGCCGUAACUAUAACGGUCCUAAGGUAGCGAAAUUCCUUGUCGGGUAAGUUCCGACCCGCACGAAUGGCGUAACGACUUGAGCGCUGUCUCAACAGGGGGCCCGGUGAAAUUGAAGUAUGUGUGAAGAUGCACAUUACCCGCGACUGGACGGAAAGACCCCGUAGAGCUUUACUGUAACCUGACAUUGGAUCUUGAUAACGGAUGCACAGGAUAGGUGGGACGCUGGGAGACGAGGACUUUGGUUUUCGUGGAGCGGCCGUUGGGAUACCACUCUUCUGUUAUUGAGAUUCUAACCUCAAGCCGUGAGCCGGAUGAGAGACAGUGUCAGGCGGACAGUUUGACUGGGGCGGUCGCCUCCGAAAGAGUAACGGAGGCGCCCAAAGGUACCCUCAGAAUGGAUGGAAACCAUUCGAAGAGAGCAAAGUCAGAAGGGUGCUUGACUGCGAGACCAACAAGUCGAGCAGGUACGAAAGUAGGGCUUAGUGAUCCGGCGGUAUGAGAGUGGAAUUGCCGUCGCUCAACGGAUAAAAGCUACCUCGGGGAUAACAGGCUGAUCUCCCCCAAGAGUCCACAUCGACGGGGAGGUUUGGCACCUCGAUGUCGGCUCGUCGCAUCCUGGGGCUGGAGCAGGUCCCAAGGGUUUGGCUGUUCGCCAAUUAAAGCGGCACGCGAGCUGGGUUCAGAACGUCGUGAGACAGUUCGGUCCCUAUCCAUCGUGGGCGUAGGAGUCAUGAGAGGAGCUGUUCCUAGUACGAGAGGACCGGAAUGGACGCACCACUGGUGCAACUGUUGUCGUGCCAACGGCAUAGCAGGGAAGCGAAGUGCGGACGGGAUAAACGCUGAAGGCAUCUAAGCGUGAAGCCCACCUCAAGAAUAAGACUCCACAUAGACCCCUGGAGGACUACCAGGUAGAUAGGUCAUCGGUGGAAGCGCCGUAAGGUGU
rnacentral:rRNA from 1 species